rnacentral:lncRNA from 1 species
ACAAAUGGAGAAGCGUUGCCACCGCUUUAACCAGUCCGAGCGCUGGCACCGUUGCCGCGCUGUGCUGCAGCGCGGCCUAGAGUUGAACCCAUCAUCAUCCUGCCUCAUUCAGGUAGGAACAGGGCAGAGGCCAAAGUCUCCUGCUGCCGGAGAUGCAAAAUAUCCUAAGCCAGCAUUCGCCCAGCGCCUACGUUUUUGAAUUAUCGCUGCUGGGCACCUCUCUGCAUAGCGACUCAUCACACCUGCCGCGAAGGUGGCCAGUUGUGCGCUCCGUGUUAUAGUUCCCAUAGCCCCUGCAGCUCCGGCGCGGACUCGGAUGUCCUGGAUCCUGUGCCCCUUACUGCGCUUCUGCUGCUAGGCCCUACUACUGGGGGGUUAAAACCCCCUCGCGCAUAGUGCCGUACAUACACAAGUACACACGUGACAUGCUUUUUGCCUUGCCGCGUGAGAGGGCGGGAGUUAUCUCUCC